rnacentral:rRNA from 1 species
AGAGUUUGAUCCUGGCUCAGGAUAAACGCUGGCGGCGUGCCUAACACAUGCAAGUCGAACGCCCUCCCUUGCAAAAGGGAGGGGGUGGCGGACGGGUGAGUAACACAUGGGUACCUGCCCCGCAGUGAGGGAUACCGGCGCGAAAGCGCCGACAAGCCCGCAUACGCUCCCCUUCGCGAGAGGGGGAGCAAAGCUGGCAACAGCGCUGUGGGAGGGGCCUGUGGCCGAUUAGCUAGCUGGUGAGGUAACGGCUCACCAGGGCGACGAUCGGUAGCUGGUCUGAGAGGACGAUCAGCCACACUGGGAUUGAGAACGGCCCAGACUCCUACGGGGGGCAGCAGUGAGGAAUUUUCGGCAAUGGGCAGAAGCCUGACCGAGCAACGCCGCGUGCAGGAGGACGCUUUUCGGAGUGUAAACUGCUUUUCCCAGGGACGAGAAAGGGACGGUACCUGGGGAAGAAGCCCCGGCUAACUACGUGCCAGCAGCCGCGGUAAGACGUAGGGGGCGAGCGUUGUCCGGAGUUACUGGGCGUAAAGCGCCCGCAGGCGGUCUGGCGCGUUGGGGGUGACAGUCGGCGGCUUAACUGCCGAAGGACUCACAAGACGGCUGGACUGGAGGGCCUCAGAGGGACAUGGAAGUCCGGGUGGAGCGGUGAAAUGCGUAGAGAUCCGGAGGAACACCAAAGGCGAAGGCAGUGUCCUGGGAGGCACCUGACGCUCGGGGGCGAAGGCCAGGGGAGCGAACGGGAUUAGAUACCCCGGUAGUCCUGGCGGUAAACGGUGACCACUAGGUGUGCGGCGUAUCGACCCGCUGCGUGCCGACGCAAACGCAAUAAGUGGUCCGCCUGGGGAGUACGGUCGCAAGAUUAAAACUCAAAGGAAUUGACGG